AAACUUGGAGAGGCGCUGCGUCGGGGGACGGGGCUACAAGCCGUCGCUGGGGGCGGGGCUUGCGGCCCACCUGUAGGUCCCGGUGCCACCUCGUCAGUGUCCCGAGAGAUCCCCAGAAGAACGAGAGGGCUGAACAGGGGACCCCACUGACGUCCGAUGAAGAAACUAAGACUCAGAGAAGACAAAUGACAUGCCCAAAGACACAUUGAUAAGAACGCAUCUGGUAGUGGUGUUCGAGUCCAGCGUUGCAGCAGAGAGAUGGGUAACUGUAUGGCCGAACAGCUGUCUUCUCGUGGAAGAAGGAGGCCAAUGUCCAGGAGUGGCAGGCAUACUGGAACUUGGACUUCUGUAGGCCAACCUGGGUUCCACUUGGUAGAUGGGGGUCUUGCUGUGUUGCCCAGGCUGGUCUCAAACUCCUGGCCUGAAGCAGUCCUCCUCCCUUAGCCUCCAGAGUAGCUGGGACUACAGGUACACACCACUGCAACCCCUCAGUGGUUGUUAUUUAACUGAAGGGGGUUUUAGCUUUCAUGUAUCAGCUCACUCUGGAGCCAGACAGCCUGGCCUUCAUGGCAGCUCUGCCCCUUACUACCUGUGUGACAUCGGGCAACGUUACUGAGUGUCAGAUUUCUUAUUUGUAAAACAGGGAUAAAAAUGACAUUGCUGUGCAAAUUAAAAGAAAGAAUCCAUGUGAGAUAUUUAGCACACUGGCAUACAAUGAGAGCUUAAUAAACAUUGUUAGUUUUGUAAACUGAGGGAAAAAAAUAGCCACAGGCCUGGGAACAUAAAUGCUUGGUAAGCUUCUCAGUUCCCUGGAAGUCUGACACGCAAUGUGUAUGUAUGAACAAGGCAGGAGGAAGCAUGACACCAAGCCUUCCUUUUAACAAACACUGUUUAAAUCAGAGGUCGGAAGUCAUGGACUGGAGAUUCAUUCUCUCCCCACUCAUUUCUGCCCAGAGACACCUGGUGAUCUGGCAUACACAGUGCUAUGAACCUCAGAAUUAUUUGCUAGCAUUUACAAAUUGUGAGUACUCCCACAUACAAACUGUGGUAGAUGGAAUAAUGCCUCCCCACAAAAAUGUCCACAGCCUAAUCCCUGGAACCUGGGAAUAUGUUACUUUACACAGCAAAGGAAUGUUGCAGCUGUGAUUGGAGAUUGAGAUAGGGAGAGUGUAUUAGUCUGUUGUCAUGCGGCUAUGAAGAAAUACCUGAGACUGGGUAAUUUACAAAGAAAAGAGGUUUAAUUCACUUACAGCUCAGCACGGCUGGUUGGGGGGGCGCCCUCAGGAAAUUUACAAUCAUGGUAGGAGGCACCUCUUCACAGGGUGGCAGGAGAGAAAAUAAGAGCAGAGCGAAGGGGGAACCCCUUAUAAAACUGUCAGAUCUCAUGAGAACUCACUGUCAUGAGAACAGCAUGGGGGAAACCGCCCCCAUGAUCCAUCACCUCCACCUGGUCCCCCCCUUGUUACAAUUCAAGGGGAUUGUAACAAUUCAAGGUGAGAUCUGGGUGGGGACACAGAGCCAAACCAUAUCAGAGAGUCUUCCUGCAGUGUCCGGGUGGGUGCGGCAUGUUCAUAGGGUCUUAGAAGAGGGAAGCAAGAGGUGAGAGGACAGAAAUGCCACAUUGCUGGCUUUGAGGGUGGGGCCAGAGGAGGGACCUGCAGGCAGAGAUAGAGCUGGAAAUGGAAAGGAAACCUUCUCCCUUAGAGUCUCCAGAAGAAGUGCAGCCCUACAGACCUGUGUUAGGCUUCAGACCUCCAGAAUUGUAAAAUAAUAAAAUUGCAUUAUUUUAAGCCACUCGAGGCCCAUGUCCUCAACAAAGAGAAAGACGGUGGGGUGCUGUCAGCCAGGGUAGGUACCUGCUUGGUGGUCUGGGUCCUUUCCCACUGUGUCCAUUCAGUUACAUUACCUGCCCAUCUGCUGAGGCCUCGAGUUUGGGACCUCAGGUUUAUAUAAUUCCUUGCACAAGCAUGAUCGAUUGAUUCCGGAGAGUAGCAGAACACUGAUAUGCAGGGGAAUCUCCUAGUUCCAAGUGUGAGUUGUAGUCUAGACACUUCCUGAAUAAGGACAAUGAGAGCCAGCAAGCAGGGAAGUGGAGCAAGGAUGGUGCCGUCCGGCUGCUCAGCUGCUGGCUGGAACUCCCGGAGGACUCUGUGAGGAUGCAGGUAGAAGGUGUGUAAGCAUGUGACUGCAUGGAAGCCCUCGGCAUGUGAUCCACUCCGUGUUCCAAAUUGCCAUCCUUUCUGCGUGCUGUUAGGGACUUCCCCCAGCUCUCCCUGCAGAGUGAGGAGUACUCUGAGACAGACGGGUCUAGGAUGAACUGUGUUGAUGGAGAAAUGAACAUUUUUUGGAGGGAAGGAAGAUUUCGGGGUGUGGGGCAUAAGUUGAAGGAGUAUGGCUCUGAAAGUCCUUGGGCAGUUUGUAGAGGACAGAGAAGGUGGUAAUGUCAGUUUCUGCCCCUCUCCCACCUCCACCUCUGGCCUUCUCAGUGGUCCUAUGGCUCCCUACCUUCAGUCAUCUUGUUCUCAAGCCUGAAGUGCUGGAUCCACUCAGCUGCAACCCAGCUCAACACCUCUGUGGAAGCUUUGCCCAUCAAUCAGGAGAAGCUGAGAUCCAGAGACUGAUGCCCACGUUCUGUCUUUGCAGAGGGAAGCCCACCAGAGCCCUCUUCUCUCUGGGGAGGAGCUGGCUCCCUGAAUCUCCAAGACAAACCCAGACAGCCCUGGGGACCUUGAAUGUGAGCAAGGGGAGCAGAAAGGAGGCUCCAGCCCACCCAGGGCCCCUGCAGGGUCUGCACACACAAUUACAGGUCCUCAUUUCCCUCUCCUAAUGAUGCCCCAAAACAUUAAGGGAAGUUAAAUCAAACCACCAGGUGUCCAGCAUGAACAGCUGAAAUAAUAAAUUCACGAGAUUUGAAUCCAAAUAACUGAUGAUUUGUUCCAUGAAUGCCAGAGCUGGAAGGGAUGGGGUUGGCAGAAGAGACAAGACUGGACCAUGGACCUGGUGGUUCUGUGCAGAGGCCAAAGCUACUCUCCUUCCCACCUGGCCCUGUGCUGGGCCUAACCUGGAGCCCCCUCUAUCCUCUGCCUCAUUCUUCUCCGGGUCAAGGUCCAGCAUGAACUCCAUGUCCUCCAGGAAGCCCUGGUGGACUUGGGCAGACCUGGGGACACGUCCAGCCUCCUGGCAAGAUGGGGGUAACAGGAGUGUGUAUAAAGGGGAAGGCAAGAAUGUGCCCUUGGUGGAGCAGUGAAAAGAAGCCCUCAUGUGACAAGUGUUUUGCUCCUAACCCACCUCCUCUGGUGACAUCUUCUGGGUUAACUGCUCUUGCUGAUCUCUGCACAUAAACCAAGCUAACUGUGAGAGGCCUUUCAUUUCUAGUUUAAAGCAAGGAGACCACAGUUCCUUCUGAACACUCACCCCCAAGGAGAUAAGGAGGGCGUCCCAUGAGCAACACUGUGUGUUAAAGAUGUACACGAGCACUGGGACCUGACCAAGGACAAACACGUCUCCAGCCCCCUCAGACCCUUGCUGCUGCUCAGAUGUCCGCUGUCAUCGGUCACAUCCUAACCUCAACCCCCUCUCUCCUCCCACAUAAAAGGAGGCUGAAAUUCAUAGUAACUUCAGAUGGUUCUUUAGGACACUGGCCCACCACCUUCUCGGUUGCUGGCUCUCCAAAACAAAGCCCCCUCCCUUGACCCAAUUCCUUGUUUCUUGACGUACUGGCUGUUGUGCAGUGCAUGGUACCGGCUUGAACUCGGUUAUGUUGGCAUGGCCUCUGGCGGUGCUCAGUUUGUGUGGAUGAGUAUUUUACAGCUACUGUCCUAUUUCCAGUCCCCUUCCUCUGGACGGCUAUGGGAUGUGCUGUGGAUGCCCUCUCUUAGGCUGGAAUAAACCACCCUACCUUCUCCUCUGCCUUGUCUCCACCAAAUAAACUCCUUAAGGCAGGGAUAGAGUCUUGCACUCCACGAAGAAGUAUUGCUGCAUCCUCAGCUGUGUAAGAGUGACCGGGCUUCUUCUAUUCCACCUGUAAUGGAACUUUAGGCACGCAGAGAGAGAUGGCAAAUUUGUGCUGGCUGAAGGGGUCAGCAAAUGCAUAUAAGGCUUCUUGUGCUCCAGAGAGAGAAUGGAGUGCAGUCAGUGAGACCCUGAGGGGAGAAGGAACCAAAAGCCUGGGCAGAAGGGAUCGUGGAGGUGCCCAGGGUCAGGAGGGAUGGGAAGGGUGAGGAACACAAGAGAUCACCUGGAGGCAUUAGAGGAGAAGGCAGGCACUGGGGAUGGUGCCGCUGAUCCAGGUGGAGCAACAUCCUAGGACCCGAGUGCUGGGCAGGUGCAUCCGUGGAGGGAAGCUUCUCUCCUCUCUCGGCUCCUGCUGAGAGAGGCAAUCAUUCCCCUGGCUUGCCCUGCAAGAGACAGGAGCUCUAGGUAGAUCUCUGCUAUCUAGGGAAUAGAAUGUGAAUAUUUGAAAGUUCUAGAGGUCAAGUCUUAGGUUCCCUCUCAGCUCAGAUCCCAAAUGGUACACUCUACCCUAACCCCCUUUUCUUGUAGCUUUGCUACAUGGAGAGGAAAAUACCUUGCCAGACACCAACAGUCCCUUCUCAGCACUUUUGUGUGAAGACAACUCAGACCCUAAGAGAAUGGGGUCUAAUUUGCAGGUGCCACUGGAAGGCAGAGGUCACGGGAGCCCUGGACUUCAGACAAGGUAGAGGGAUCCUGGAGACAGCACAUCUGGCCCUGGAGCCCUGCCCACCCGGGGAGUGAGGGCAGCUCUCCUGCUCUCCUAGGAGGCCUGCCCGAGGACCCCCAUGUCCUCUAUGUGUGGGAUUCUGCAGUUUGCACUCACAACCCAGAGCCUUUUACCCAACUACCCUGUUUGUAGGAAUGUGUCCAAAAUAAGCAUCAGACAAGUACAUGAAGAUGAAUGUGCAAAGACGUUCAUAACAGGAUUGUUUAUAAUCAUGAAAAAUGAUCUGCAGAUUUCCUGUCUGCUGUGCAGGAUGAGUUAGACGGGGAUGCAUCCAUAAAAUCACUUUGCCCUCAUUUAAAAUUAUAUCAUAGAUCUAUGUUUAAUGACAUAGUAAACGGUACUCAAUGCAUUAAGUGAAAAAAGCAUAUACAUAUCAGGAUGUAUAUGAUCAAGUUUUUGUUAAAUGGAUGCAUGUAUGCAUGUCAGUAACUGUCUGUGUUUGCAAACAAAACGUCUAGCAAGACGUGCAUCAAAUAUUAACAAUCAUUAUCUUUGGAUUCUGGAUUUAUUGACUUCUAUUUUUGACUUUGCCCUUUGUUUUUCUAUGUUAUCUGACACUUUUACACUGAGUUUAUAUUAUUUUU
rnacentral:lncRNA from 1 species